CGAAAAUUGUGUUAAAAAAUAAAGUUUAUUAAAACCAAAUAUUAAAAUAAUUGAUAUAAAAUUAAUGUUUAGAACUAUGUAGUAAAGUGUUGGUGAAUAAUGAGUGCAUAAUAUAAAAGAAAAAUUUAACUAUAAUUCGAGUGAUUGCGAGAUAAAAUUUGUACAGUUUUUAACAUAUAUGCUAAAUUCUCAAAAAUUAGUUGGCUAUUAUAUAUAUUCGUGAAGUCGUGGGCUGGCAUACUAAAGCCGACCGAAAAUGUCUAUGUAUUUGCAUAAGUUAGUUCCAUCAUUAUGCACCUUUGCAUCCCACCAACAAAAUUGCGCUGUCUGAACAGGUCUAAGCUAUUAUGAUAUGAUAUAUUAUUCACUAUCGAAAGGAUAUGUUGUUUGAAUGUAGUUCCGAUUUUUACGAAGGUCUAUAUUACAGAAUACAUUUGUUUAUUGGAGUUAUAAGUGCAUUAGUUAAAAAAAAGAAAUUAUUAAAAUGGAAACAGCUGAAUCUGAAAGACAGAAAGAAGGGAAGUGUACUGAAUUUGUAAUAAAUGGUGCCGAAGUUAAUCAAAAUAAUGAAGCAUCAGGUCCACUUUUAGAAGAAAAAGAUGUUGAUAGUGAAGAUGACAAUGACUAUGAGAUUCCGGUAUCCCAUUUGUUUUGUUUUGCCUUGGCUAUCUCGUUCGUUAAAAUCGGGGAAUCCCCGUGACCCCACCCCGCUUGGGUCGCACGCAUCGCGUCUGGUUGCAUUGACAAACUUACUCAUACUCAUACAAACUCGGCGCCUCUACGGCUCAAAAUAACUAGUAUUUUUUCUCUGGUUCAAAAGAACUGCCGCCGUUUUAACGUUUACCUCGUAACAAAACUAAUUUAGGUGGCAAUGGCUCGUGGCGGCGAACGCCCCUAUUGUCUUGGCGCCUGUGUGCUUCGCACACUUCGCACACAGGGGCGACAGAAGCUCUUUUUCGACAUAUUUGAGUGAAUAAAAAGAUUUACGCUUUAAAUGAAUGACAUAUACUGAAAAGAAGAAAAAAAAUUAACUUCGGUUGCACCGAAGCUAUAAUAUCCUACAGUAAUAAUGUGAAAAAGUCAAAAUAAAUCGUAUGGUGUUUUCGAUAAAUAAUGUUGUCCAACAAGCGUAAAAGUCAUCUAUAUAACAAGCUGAAGAAUAAAGGCACCAAUUUGUAACCGAAAUGAAUAUGUUUGCUACGUAUUAUAUCAACAUUUAGAAGCAGUGACGUCCAAAAAGCAGCGUCACCAGGUUAGCACUCUUUCGUCGGCCUAAUAUAAUUGUUUCUGAUGGGAAGCUUCUUCUGUCUUCUGUCACUGAUACAGAGAAAAAUGCUUGAUCAUUAAUCUCCUUAAAUUAUAUUGUAAAAUUGUACGAAUCCCUACUUAAUCCAAUAUAUAAGAUAAUUCUCAACAAGGCGGAAUCGACCUAUUAGUAAAAUAAUAUACAAAUGUUUAAAUUAAUUAAUAUAUAACUUUAAAAAUAUGUUCUUGGCUGAAAAAGUUAAACAAUAUUAAAAAAUGUAUAUGUGCUUACCUGUUGACCUUAUUUAAUAUUUUAAUUUCGAUUUUGAUUUCAAAA